UGCUACGGGAGCCCCAUAUCACUCGCCUUGCUCUUCAGCCAAGUAACUUGCCAAGGACUGCACUACUUUGUGAAAAACUCUGUUUCCUUGUUUGUUUUUUCGUUUCCUACUUUGUUCCUUUGUUGUUUCCUGUUAAACUCUGUUGUGUUAUGCUAAUAGGUUGACAAGGAUGAGGAUCCUUACCAGAAUGAGAGGAGGUGGCUCGGUGGUAAUGGCGAAAAGGAAGAAGGCGGCCCGGAACCGGGGCAGGAAUCGUGCGGGCAUGGAGGCGGAGGCGGAGGGUUCAGCUAGGCGCGCGCCCCACUUCCACGGACACGGCGCCCCCUUUGACGUCCGCCGCGGCCAAGAAAACGGAGCCCACCUUGGGGGCGCCCGCCCCGGCCAAGAAGCUAUCCCACCCAUGGCACAACACAGAAGAUUGUUGAGCUCCUACGCCGGGCAGCGGCUUUCCUGGGGAGGAACGGCAGCGCCGGCGACGACACAUCCUCCACUAGCGCCGGCAACGGCGGCGUGGAGGCUCUGGUGGGCGAACGCUCGCGGGAUCAGCUUCCUGGGCACCAAGACAAUCACGCACCGCCCAAGCGUCCUACACGGGGUCAGGCUAUUCUCUACACCUUUGGCAACCUGGACAUGAAUAAGAGACACUCUGCCGAGAAGGAAGCGCCCCGAUGUUUUCCUCCGGCUCCUAUUUUACCCAGUUGACAAGGAUGAGGAUACUUACCAGAAUGAGAGGAGGUAUGAAGAGUUUUGUGAAGCUAGAAUGAAGCUUCCACUUGGAUAUGAGUUGUGCACUGUAUGUUUUUAAUUUGAAGAGCCCUGGAGACAUGGAAAUGCAGUAGUACGUUCUGGGAAUAUGCUCUCUCAUUUCAAUUGCCACAACACUCCAGGUGUCAAAUGUGGUGAAGAAUUAUGUACGGUUAGGUUCCGCAGCUGUGAACAUCAGCAGUUAUACAGAUCCUAUUGCACAAGUAUUUGGGAGACCAAGCCAAAGUUGCGGUAUGACAGGUUUUGUCGAGGUAGGGUGUAGUAACAAUCUGUUUGGAAGAUUCGCAGCAGCUAAAGGUGUCUGCAAGUAUGGCCUGAGAUUGAAGAACCACAUGGUGUGCUAAUAAAAGCUACAAAGAGAUGAACUAUUGUAUGCUUUUGUUGGAUGAUGGGUUGACAUGUCGUGUGAGAGUGAUGUCAAAUGACAAACUGUGAGCCUAGUGCGAUCAUGUUGUUGAGAAAAUGGUUUUCUUGGAUGAUGUUCUGCAGCUACUGUGGAAGUUAUAUUUACUUUGAUCGUUCAGAAUAUGUUUGCUGGAAUGUUAUUCACAUGGGGGGAGAUGGUAACAAGCGUCGGUUUGAUCAUGGUGACAUUCACUUAUUGGUUAUGAGUUUUACAUGUGUAUCACGUGGUCACAGUUUACCGUAGGUUUGACUGUUUCUAGGAGAAUUGUUGAGGAUAGGUAUUUCUGUUUAAGGUCAGCUUGGAGUGAAACCUGCAGGACAUGGUAAGAAGUGCCAAGGAAGUAUCCUGUGUUUUCUUUACUAAUCAUCCAUUCAUCCUGAUGCCGUCCUGUGGACAUGUGGUAGCAUGUGAUUCUGUUUAAAAUCCCAGGAGGUGUCUUCUCAGUUUCAUUUGGAGUGUGAGUGCUCAUUUGAGAUCAACUGCUCCUUUUCUUUAAGUAUUCAAAAAUUGAAUUCUUACCAAGGAUAAAGGUGGUAGCAUGGUAAUAAAGGUUGUCCUUUUUGCUCCAGAAUCAGAAGAUCACAUGUUUUUUUUCCGGUGUCUGCUAGCUUGAUAUGUGGAAAGCCAUCCGGUCUUAGUGAAUUGUUCGAGCGCUGGGUGAAUGGUUUCAGCAACAUAACUCAAAAACUAGUAUUGGUUGGGAUUUUAGUGGUUUGUAGGGGCUAUGUGGAACUGGGACACAAGAAAUGUCUUACUGUCAGCAUAUUUUAUACCUAAUUAUCCUAACACCGUCGUUCACUGUGUUUUCAGAUCGAUUCAUGCUUUGCAGGAGGAGCAAAUCAAUGAGAAGCUGCUGGUGAGAAUUUGGUGUUUGUGUGUUGGAUGGCAUUGACAAAUGCUUUCAAAAGAUAGGCUCCGGUGGCGAUGAGUAAACUUUGAGUUGGAUGAGCAGAAUUUUCAUACCUCCCCCACCCCUGCCUUGUUUUCCUCCAUGUGUUCUUCUCGCAAUUUCAAUUAAUAUUACACCCUUAGAUCCAAAAUAAGUGUUGCAGUUUCGAACUACGGUUAGUUCAACCUUAAUGUAAAACUGCGACACUUAUUACGGAUCAGAGGGAGUACUAUUUUAUCAUUGUUUCGCAUCUAACCUGAACUUGGUUUAGCUUCUGUAGGCUUGUUUGUCUGAUGCCUUCAUGUCGCUGUGAACUGAAGCUUGUUCUUUAUACGAGAAGAAGCAAGAAAAUAUGCAAGGGCGAUUCUGCAGUUGCUUCUCCUCAAAAGACCGCUACUAGGAAGAAGAUAAACCCAAGGAAGAAACAGACACGAAGAUAGCUCAUAUUCUGCCAAAUAGGAGCGAUGUGUCUCAAGAUGAAACUACUAGAUAUGUCGAAACAAUAUGCUCCCUCUGUCCCAUAAUAUAAGAGUGUUUUUGACACUAAUACGCUCUGAUAUUAUGGGACGGAGGGAGUACAAUAAAAGAACUUCCAAAAGAAGAGAAAACUGCUCUAUGUAUUUUAAGUAUCUCCUCUAGUGCUGCUUCCAAAAGAAGAGAAAACUUUCCAUUGACAGAGGUUUUGGUUUAUUACACAAUCAAAAUUGAGAUUUGA